UACGUAGGGGCCUAGCGUUGUCCGGAUUCAUUGGGUUUAAAGGGAGCGUAGGCGGACUUGUAAGUCAGUGGUGAAAUCUGUGGGCUUAACCCACAAACUGCCAUUGAUACUGCAGGUCUAGAGUACAGUUGCCGUUGGCGGAAUAUGACAUGUAGUGGUGAAAUACUUAGAUAUGUCAUAGAACACCGAUUGCGAAGGCAGCUAACGAAGCUGUAACUGACGCUGAGGCUCGAAAGUGCGGGGAUCAAACAGG
rnacentral:rRNA from 1 species